rnacentral:rRNA from 1 species
GCGAAAACUUUACAAUGCUGGCAACAGCGAUAAGGGAACCUCGAGUGCCAGGUUACAAAUCUGGCUGUCGAGAUGCCUAAAAAGCAUUUCAUAGCAAGGGCCGGGCAAGACCGGUGCCAGCCGCCGCUGUAACACCGGCGGCUCGAGUGGUAACCGUUAUUAUUGGGUCUAAAGGGUAUGUAGCCGGCCGGAUAAGUCUCUUGAGAAAUCUGGCAGCUUAACUGUCAGGCUUUCAGGAGAUACUGUCUGGCUCGAGGCCGGGAGAGGUGAGAGGUACUUCAGGGGUAGGGGUGAAAUCUUGUAAUCCUUGAAGGACCACCAGUGGCGAAGGCGUCUCACCAGAACGGAGCUGACGGCAAGGGACGAAAGCUAGGGGCACGAACC